CUUCAGGCCGGAAUUCGAUACCAUGAUCUGCAGCGACACGCAGACUCCAGAUGAGCCACAGCCCCAGUAAAGCCUUGCCUGUGCCUUAGACAUUUGGGCCAGGUCUCAUUUCUGCAUUAUCAGGCCCAGGAACCUGCUGACUCUGGUAACACAGUUCUCAUGCAAGAAGAGAUGUUUUGCAACCACUGAAGUUUUUAUUUCAGGUAUCACAGGACCUAUGAUUAUGCAGGUAAACAUAACCUAUAGUUAUCCCAUGACCUCUCCUUGCUCUUCUGAUGUCUUCGGAUGGUGUACAUCACAUCACUGCUCAGUUGGAAAUGAGAAGCUCUGAGAAACCCACCUCUGGCCACCUUCGAGCCAGAAGAAGGGAGAAGUUGGGCCAGAGUGACAAUGACAUAUGAAAAAAUGCCAAGUGGGAACAGUCAGGACCGUGGACAGUUGUGAAGCUCAGGAGGAGAGAGAGGGAUCAGAUGAUAUUUGAGAUGGUCUUCAUUGUUUUCCAGACCACCGAGUCACAGCCAGUGACUCUCAGGAGUAACAGUGAUACAUGACAUCAACUUCCAUGAUGAGGUUCAGGGGAAAGCUUACCGCUUGCACCAAAAGGCUGUCUUGUUCCAGAAUUCAUACGUAUAAAAAAAGUGUGAACCUUUCUGUGUAGCCAGCCAACCCAUGUUAAAAUACUAAAGGGACAUAAUAUCUUUCUGAAACAAACACUGAAAUGUAGUUUAAAAUUUGGAAAUCUAUUAGGUUCCUUUUGAGAAUAAUGUUAGCAAUUCUGUUACCACGUUCAUCCAAGGCACAUUAAAACCUAGUGCCACCAAUGGAUUGAUUUACUUCAUUUACAACAGAUUUGCUUCAUUUCUAACAGAUGAAUGAGUGUCUAGGCAUGAAUCUCUUUUAUAUAUUCAAACAUCUUGUUUUCCUCUUAAGACGUGUUGUUAGUUAAUAUUUAGGUGGUGGAUUAAAUUCUGCCUCAAAUUUAAAGAGCUGCCUUCAGGACCGAGGGGUGUUUGCAUUCAGGAAACAGGAAACUUUGCAUUGUAACGUGACACGAGUAGGUCUCACAUUAACGCUGCUACCCUGGGAGCAUGUUUUAUUAUUGUGAUGCUCCCUCUAGGAAGAGAGGUUUACAGUGCGCAGAGAUUUAGGGAAUUAGAACAUCUCCUUGCUUUUGGGCAGAAUGCCUCUAUGCUGGCAUAGGCUAAGUAAGCAUAAAAUGUUUUAUGGAAAGGAAGACUUUG
rnacentral:lncRNA from 1 species